rnacentral:rRNA from 1 species
CCGUUACUGACGCUGAGGCACGAAAGCGUGGGUAUCGAACAGGAUUAGAUACCCUGGUAGUCCCACGCAGUAAACGAUGAUCACUAGAUGUGCGGCGCGCCUGAGCGCUGCGUGUCACAGCGAAAGCGUUAAGUGAUCCACCUGGGGAGUACGCCGGCAACGGUGAAACUCAAAGGAAUUGACGGGGGCCCGCACAAGCGGAGGAACAUGUGGUUUAAUUCGAUGAUACGCGAGGAACCUUACCCGGGCUCAAACGGUGGCGGACCGUGUCCGAAAGGACAUUUCCAGCAAUGGCCGCCUCCGAGGUGCUGCAUGGUUGUCGUCAGCUCGUGCCGUGAGGUGUCGGCUUAAGUGCCAUAACGAGCGCAACCCCCAUCUCCAGUUGCCAUCGGGUCAUGCCGGGCACUCUGGAGGGACUGCCAGCGCAAGCUGCGAGGAGGGCGGGGAUGACGUCAAAUCAGCACGGCCCUUACGUCCGGGGCGACACACGUGUUACAAUGGCGGGGCACAGCGGGCAGCCAGGCGGCGACGCCGCGCGGAUCCCUUAAACCCCGUCUCAGUUCGGAUCGGAGUCUGCAACCCGACUCCGUGAAGCUGGAU